UUUCUGAUAUGAUUGCGGGGGAUUUCCACCAACCAAAUUAAAGAACAUUCAGUUUUAGCAUUAGCUGCAAGGAGAGAGGCGUUUUGCAACCUUUGUCAUUUAUGAAAUACUGGCAGUGGCAGAGAGAAUGUCUGCCUCCCUCCCAACGAUUCAGACUCCUGCCAUCCUGCAGCUGGUGGUCAAUUACCGCACGCCUCAGCCAUCAGACAGGGUGGUGGUCGAUUACUGCAUCCCUCCACCAUCAGACCGGUGGGCACUCCCUGAUCCUCCCGGAGCGCUUCCCCCUGGACCUGCCCGACAACAGCUUUGCCGGGAAACGUGUCUGUCCCCUGGGGAGUGGCUGAAAGAGCUUUGCUAAGGUCCCACGGUAAGGAAACAUUUGGUGAGGCCCCACGCCCCAUCACCAGACCCACAGAAGCAGCUGGCUUCUGGGAGGGAGGGAACUGCUCUCUAAACAAAAAUGGUUUUGAAAAAUAAGCCAGCCAAAGGGGAACUGCUUCGUGAGUUACACAUUCACUUCUCCCUUUAACUGUGCAGUUGAAGAAAAAACAAGGUGAAGCAGGAACUGACCCCACGUUCACAUCCCCUUGAACUCUCUGGACACAGCAGCACUGGGAGUACUGGCUAACCAGGCCUGAGGUUGGUCUCUAAGUAUGCGUGGAUCGUUCGUGUCUUGUAAGCCCCCCACCCACAGGGCUGGUACCCUCCCUGCCUGCCUUGUUCUUAACAUAGCCCCUGUGAGGGGGGAUCUCAAGAAAUACCUAUUAGACACAGUAAAGAAAGAGAAAAGUCCUGCUGGAAGGGGACCAUCUGCGUGGCCAAGGGCGUCUCUGGGGCACUUGCCCCAAUUCCAGAAGCAUCGGUAUUUGCAGGGUGGCCAGCACUGUUUCUAAACGUGGGCAGAGGAGGUGGGGGGAGUGGGGCUCAGAAAGAGGCACGCUUGGAUGUCUUAGAACGGGCUGCUGUGAACUCGUUUUCAAGAACACGGUUCCCCGCACCCCAGAGGGUCCUCCAUUACUUGUAGGACCUCGUCAAAUCCCCGAAAGAACCAAUCUCUGCGUGUGCAAGACAGUGCUCUCAGGAGGCAGGAUGGAUGGAAUCCUGAAGUCAAGAAAUCAAUCCACAGCAAGGCGUGGAAAUGCUAAAGGGUUGGCAAUUUCUGCUCUAGAGAGCAGAAGAGAAAGUUCUAGUCCAAUCUCCUCGUGUUUGGCGGCAGCCUCCUUAAUUAGCAGACUCUUUACCCCCCCUUAGGCCAGUCAAACCCGGCGGCUGACAGCAGCAGAGGCUUUUACAGGGGUUAUCAGGGUGGGUACCUUAGAGGCUGCGUCUUUGAAAGGGCACCCCAAGAGUCCCCAUCCCUACAUCAAGAGAACAUUUAGGGAAUAUUUUCGUUAAUCUGCAAGCCACAGCACCUACAGGCGACUAAACACUUCGGUGAUGGAAGGUACUGACUGGGGGUUUGGAUCAGCUACUUGGAAAUUGCGUGGGUGGGCAAGUUUAACUUUUCUGGGCCUCAGUUUCCUCCACUGGAAAGUGGAGACCACAUCAUUCAGGUCCUACGAUUGUUUAACUGAAAACAUCUGGAAAAACGAUCGGUUCUUUGGGAGGGCUGGAAAGAGUCCCAAGGGUACCAUUCACUGGAGGGCAAUACCAAGGUACUGCCAGGCACUCCAGCGGCGUCCUCUGUCCUGGAAGCCAGCAGUGGGAUGAAUCGGUUUCAAAGUCCCUUUGGAGCAGGGAACUGUCUCCUCGAAGCCCCUGAAAGAGGACCCCCGCCCCCGGAAGGCACUCCUGCCCCACAUACACGCGCGACGGUGGAGGACAUCUCUGAGGGUGGCGCGCAACGGGGCUUUCUGCGGGAGCCCAGGUGCAGAAGCACCCCCCCCCCCCGCCCCGGACAGUCUGUUGGGGUUCGAGACCCUCCUUCCGGGGGACCUGAUCCAAGUGAAAGCCGCUCGGUCAUUCGAAAGCUCCAGAGCGCUCCAUCCGCAAACUGGGCAGGUGCAAGGGUGCCUCGGGACGACCUGGUACGUGGACCGCCAGCCUGGGCCGCCCCAGGCGCCCCCACCCCAGCCCGGGAAAUCGCAUCCCCGCCCUCGCCCCCUCCGGGAGAGCACAGUUCGGGGUCUCACAUCAGUCCUUACUCUCCGGACCCCAUCUCCCCACCAGGGCAGAGCAUCACCGGCUACGUGUCCCCCCAUCCCCACCCCGCAUCCUGGUCGCCACGAAAGGUCUCCCUGUUCCCCUCUCCUAGAUUUCAAGGGAAGUGCAGAGAAGGAAGCCUAAAUAAAAACAGGAAACCCGAUUUUAAAAAAGAAGAAGCCUCAUUCUGGCUGAAUUACGGGAAAAACAACAGGUCCUCCUGCCGCCUGUCUGCACCCCCCGCCCUCCCCCCUCCCCCAAAUCCGCACCCCGUCUGCGGCUGGAGGGGCAUCAUCCCAGGUGUGUCUGUAAAGCUGCGUCUUGCCCGUCUUCAAAACAAGCGUUCUUUUUAUACAAAGGAAAACAACUAAAUAAAGGUCCUAAAGCCCACGCCUUCACAUUCACACACCAAAGACUUUCCACGGUGGCCAGAGGAAGGCUGGAGGGCGGGAGACGGAGGCGGAGGCUGCAGCUCUUGGCGCCCAGGGAGUCCCCCCAUCCCAUCCCAUCCCACCCCGCCCCGCCGCCGGCCGAGAGCGCAGUAGCUGGGCGCCAGGGAGGGUACAUGAGGCCUGGGAGACGAGACUGGAGCGCAGAGUUCCACGGGCUCGGCCCUGGGGGGAAAGCUGUAGUCUCCUCGCUUGGGGGAGUCAAGACCACGGAGGGGUGGGGGGGAGUCGCCAGGUUACAAAAGUGGCUUAGAAAUCCUUCUAGGGCGCGUGGGGGAAGAGUCAAGUCAAUUGCUUACACAAACAAUGACUUAAAGGACCCUCCCCCCUCCGGUCUGGGAACUAAAGCCCCUGUUUGGUCCCCUUGGAGAGAUGCGGCAACUGAGGCCUGGAGAGGGGCUGUUUCUACCCAAGCGAUCCGCCGGCCUCCCAGCGCCAGCGCGGGGCCCAGCUCUGGCUGCAGCAAAGGAGGGAGCAGAGCCCUCGGUUUCCAGCCAAGAAAGGGCAAGCGUAGGUUGCUGAAGGCUUCCCGUUUUCUGAGGUUUCCAAACACCUGUCCGAGCCCUGCUUUUACCAGUCGGCAAUUUAAACAGUUUUGCUCCCUGCUUUCCAGAGGUGGAUGUAAGAAGCCGACGCGUGGGGCCUGCUGUGGAUUUGGGGUCUCCUUCUCUCUCUGCCCCCUCCCCUGCUCAUGCUCUCUCUCUCUCUCUCUCUCAAAAAUGAAUUUGUUUUAAUUUAAAAAAAAAAGAAAAAAGAAUUAAAAAGAAGCUUCGCUUUCCUGAAAACCCGGCACAUUUCCCUUUAGAGACCACACCGUAGGACUUCUCUCCUUCUGUGCCUGUAGUGCCGGGAGAUCCAGGCCGACUGUAACCCCAAGCACAGUCAUCGCUAGAUAGACUUGCCUCCCGCCUUCCUCUCUAUGGUUUCUGAUCUCUCUUUUCUUAUUUUAUUUUUAACUAUUGUCCGGUGCAUUUGGAGGAAGCUACUUGACGGUCCCUUUGAACCGUAAACAAAAGAGACCCAGCCAUAGUGGGGGAUUUGUCACAGUCCUAGGAGAAAGAAGCCUCUAAGCUGCAACCGAAGUCCGUGCCUUACUCCUCAUGUGACCUCCUGACGGGGAAGUCCUUUGGCCUCAUUUUAUGGAAGGGAAAAGAGGUCCCGGUUAUUAAAGGGGUGCUGGUCAGCGGGGAGCAGGCUCGGGCAGACAGAGGUGCCCUGCAGGCCAGAGGAACACACGGAACUCUUGGGGCCUGCUUCUUUCUACCUCCUUUCCUGCAGAACUUCCCCCCUCCAAAGCCUUCCAGCCUCCGCGGCCUCUCACGGAUGCAGUAAGCAUCGGUGUGCGACCUCGAGUGGCUUCACCGCUGACACCCACACAUGCCCACAAGCAGGGUUAUCUCAGGGCAGCCAGAGCCAAGCCGAGAACCCCGGGUGCAGGGGUGCAAGGAUGGGGAGCCCACUUCCUCAGCCCCUCCGCAAAGGGCUCCGGGCAUCUGCCUCCCUGCCCCAUCCUGCCCGCUUGGCUGCGGCUCCUUUCCUUCCAAGCAGGGCAGACGUUAUCCAGCUCGAACUCUUGCCCUUUUGUCUUGGAGAAACGUGUGGGGAAGCUUCUCGGAGUACCUGUCCUGGAGCCAAACUCAGCCGUGGAGCUGUGUGACCUCAGGCAAGUGAUUUACCUUUUCUGUGCCUCCAGUUCCUCAUCUGAAACACAGGGAUGCCGAUCUUGGCUUUCAGCAUUUAGAACUGUUCGGAGAAGCGCCCGAGGUACUACGUGUAAAGUGCUUCCAACAGUACUGAGCAGAGUGAGCCAGCUCCACCCCCCGCCCCCCAAAACGUUACUGAGCUAUCCUAGAACACAGUCUCUGUGCUUGGCUCUCCAACAGUAUUUCCCCAUAGCAGCCGCAGGUUGUGACCUAUUAACACAUUCGGGUACCGGAAACCCGUUCGGUGGGUCAAGGUUAAAAAAAAACGGAACAGGAUAGAAACGGUCAGAUUUUAGGUAUGUUGUGAGUGUGCAUUCGGUCAAGAUGUAAAAUGCAUUUCUCACCGCAGGCCCCUUGGACAAGGUCACAGUGGUGGUGAUGGAAGGGCCCUGCAGACCGUGAGAGAACGAGGUCAAGGUCAGAACUGAUUCCUGGAAAGGCUGACUUCUGAGGACUCGGGCUUGGAGGAGCCUGAGAAAAAGAAGGCAGGGGUCCUUGCAGCCCCCAUCCCCAGGCUGUGCCUUGUGGACGAUAACUCACAGCUGGACUGAAUGAUCCAGAAAGACCCAGAUUAGCUCAGAGGUGGCCCAGGUGAACCAGGCUUUUCUGGGGCCCGGGUUGAACUGAUGGAGGUUGAGCGUCUGGGCCCAACUAAAUACGGGCUCCAAACAGAAAUCGAGUUAUCCUUUUUGGAAAACACAAACAACUCUAAACUCAGGAUGCCUCGGGUUCGAAUCCCAGCUCAACCACCUACCAGCUGGGCAAAGGCUGGGAGGACCACUCCAGCCCUGCUGACCUGGGGCUGGAGGAGGGUCCUGGUACAAACACUGGUACAAAGCCAGUGUUCCAGAAAUAGCAGUUGGCUUUUCAACGUAUCUUCUGAUGCUGUGGAGGGAUUGGGGAAAGAAGGGCCCCAGGGUGUGGGGUCACGAGGCUGGAUCCGACCUCCUGCCUCCAUAAACUGGGGAUGACCCAGGUUUUGUAACACUGACUCAUUUGGCCCGCAUGCAUGCCUGCUACAGUCUGGGCCCUGGGAUAGAGCAUUGUACAAGCCAAAGACCCGCCCUCCCCGGGCUUCUCCGUGGGAAGAGAAACUAUGAAGAAUAGAAGUAAGCUACAGUGUCUUAAAGUAGUAAAGCCCCGCGAAGAAAUAGGAGGCAGGGGAGGAGGGGAGAGAGAGGUGCCCUGCAGGCCAGAGGCGUGCAGGAGAGACGGCGGGGUCUGCAAAGAUACCUGCCCAGUCCUCGAGACUGUCAAGGUCAUCGAAGACCAGGAAAACUGGAGCAGCUAUCACAGCCCAGAAGAACCUAAAGAGUCAUGUGUCAUGGCAACGUCACGUGGUGCCCUGGCUGGGCUCCUGGCACAGAGAGAGGACAGGAGACAGGAAAAUGAAAUGCGAAGACCAUAAAUGCUGAAGGAGAGAGAGAGGAGUUAGAAGGAGGACAGCCAUGUUCUUGAGACCUGGAGGGGGCUGAAUGGUGGCCUCCGAAAAGGCUGAAAGAAGAAAAACAGCCACCAUGCUUGCUGUUGAGAAACCCCAGCCCUGGGGGAUGGCCCAGUCUGUGGCUGAAUAUUCUACUGGACGGGAGUUCAUGGCAGUGGUUGUUGGGUCAAUGACAUGACCCAAAACAAAACUGACAGCCAACUAGCUAAGCUUCUGUGGGAAUUGAAACUCCAGGAAACCCUAAAACCUGGCAAACUGGGGCUUGUGACGGCUUACCCUCUGGGUGAUUCCUAAGCCCACGUCCCAGCACCAACGUGAAGCAGGUUCCCGGGUAGCUGUGUCCCCUCCUAGAACAAGGUGUCCCAAGAAUCUCUCAAGGGCGGGUCUGCAAGACCCCAGAGAAGGGAUCCCUUCCCAGUGGGCAGGACCGGGGGCGGCCAUGUGUGCCGACGAAGAAGCCGAGGAAGGUAACCAGUAAAGCAAACCCCGUGAAUAUCUUGUUCCUGAGGUUUAAUUUACUCCUCCUGGCUAGAAGACCAGGGUGUGUUCUCUGUAUCUUCCUUCCCUUUUCUGCUCUAGAGAUCAAGCAUGGAAGGAGAGGUUAAACUGAUCGCUUAGCCUAUAGAUUGAGACAGAUCCAAGGAGCCACCUUAGAGGAGACUCCGUAGAAACAGGCGGGACCGGGUGUCAGCUGAAGAUCCCAGCUUUGAGAAUGGAGCCCCGGACGCAAUAGUUGGACCUGACUUGGAUCGCCUCCCAUUUGGCAGGGGGACGAGAUAUUUGCGGUGGACUUUGUGGUAUAACGAUUAAGCGAGACCAAUCAGAAUGGAGAUAUCUGGGGAAAGCCGAAGGAAUUAAGCGUGUGUGUGUGUGUGUGUGUGUGUGAUGGAGAGUGGAUGCUCUUGGCUGUCCAUCUGGCCCCCUCUUCUCGUAGCCCUUCCUCCCUUUGUCAUGACAGAAGUGUAGCAUAUAAACUUGACCACUGGCCAUAACCGAUUCCUGCUUCCCGGGGUUUGGGACCCGGACAUAGUUCUCUCUGGGAGAAGGGAUCCAGGCCACAUCAGCGUGGCAGGUGGGACGCAGGUGGGCAAAUGGGACAGGCAAGCAAGCGGUGCUGAGAAAGAAUCCAAGAGCUCUGAGUUCCCGUGCUCCAAACUGGGCUGCGUGUCCGGGCUCCAUGAGAACAUCCUGUGCCUUUGCUAUAAAGUCUCCUUUCCUGCUUGAGCGGUCAGCGACUGAUUUCUGAUUCUUGGGGUCACUCGUUUGCUGGGACAGCGACCUACCCUGGGGCAUGGGCUCAGCUGCGGCUGGAGAACAAACUUAAGACAUCUGAUAAUCAAGAGAGCCAACUGGACUAGCCCCCUGGGGUUAUCUCCCACCACCUCCCCCCCCCUUCACGCUGCACCAAGGGCUGUGACUUGUGGCUCCGGACCACCCCAAGCUCCCUGACUCUGGGCCUUUGCUCAUGCUGUUCCCUUUGCCUGGACUGCCCUUCCCAACUGUUCCUCUUGCCCUCUCCGCCUCUUUCCUUGCCUGGCUGGUUGGCACAGAUAUCGCCCACUUGGCCCCUGUCUAGAAGGGUCUUUGUUCCAGGCUGCAGCAUCCCCCACUGUAGCACUCGGUCUGCUCAGUUCCGACUGCCAGGGUGCUGGCUGCUCCUCAGAGCGGGGCCUCCACGUGGAUCGGGCUGGCAUCCCGGCGUGAGCUCGGUGUCGGCACCCAGAGUGUUACAAGUGAGUCUGUAGAAGUGUGGGAUGAAUGAAUGAAUGACCCAGUCAUGGCUGGACAGGCUUUGCCCAGCAGAAGGGUCAGGGGUCUGCAGCCAAGGGAGAGGAAGGACAAAGGUCCUGGUCCUGCCAGCGUGGGAACAGCUCCUUCCUUUCCUUCCAGCAGGCGCCCAACACCCAGGGACUGGGAGCCAGCUGCUCCGAGGCUCGACAGCCUCAGGGAGUCCAGACUCACCUUCCAGAGCGGCCCCUCCACCCCUCAUGUCAGCAGACAUGGGGGUUCAGCCUGGAUCGGUCCAUCUCGUGCGCUGAUGAAAGGGCAAUGGUGCAAAAUUCGUUGGGGAGAAAAACAGGAAGUGGAGCCUGAGAGCAAGGCUGCAGAAACGCUCCCCGGGCGUUGGCCGCCCUUCCACCCGCAGCCUUACAGGAAAGUGGCGAGGGGGCAGCCCCAGCCCUGGCUGUGGGGGCGUGGGGUGGGGGUGCUGGUGGGAGAGUCCAGGAAAGACCCUUCUUGUAGAGCAAACGCUACAUCUGUGUCCUUCACUUGACAUCUCCUCUCACCUGUUCACAGCGGCUCCUCAAGAGUCGCAGAUGGAGCCCCCCAGGCCCACGGAACCUGGCCACCUGUACAGAAGGCCCCGCGGCCCCCCACCCCCCAUCUCUGAGGUCGAAACCACAAUGUCGUGCUGUGGCCUUCACUCACCCGUCACGACAGGGGUCCCUUUCCCAGAAGCCUCUGGGGGCUGCCAGACCACAGCAGAAGCCAGGUGUCACCAAGCCUCGCGGUCUGUGCCACCACCAAGGGACGAGGCUCCAAGUUUCACUCAUCCAUUCAACACACGUUGUCAAAUGUCACCAGACACGGUCCUGUGCCCUGAGGAUACUGCGGUGACAACGACUCUGCCUGCGGGACAUUCAGGUGGGGGGCGGGGGCAGAUUCGGAAAUAAACAAGAAACAAACAAACGCAUCUGUAAUACCUCCCUUGGCAGUUGGUGCUCUGGAGAACGAAGCAGGGGGGUGCCCUCCUCACCCUGCUUGGGCUGCACCCCCC